CCGGCAACGGAUAUCUCGGCUCUCGCAUCGAUGAAGAACGUAGCGAAAUGCGAUACAUGGUGUGAAUUGCAGAAUCCCGUGAACCAUCGAGUCUUUGAACGCAAGUUGCGCCCAAGGGACCAUCCCGAGGGCACGC
rnacentral:rRNA from 1 species